UUGAGAGAGACCCCUGCAGACUUUUAACGAAUAUUCUAACGUGGCAGAAGGCACUAAAAUUCAAAGAAUUAAAAAAUUUAAAGUCUCGUGAUUACAUUUUUAGCACAAUACGUUAAUAGUAUAUCGCUUUUAUUUAUAAUAAGUAUUUUUACUUCUAUUGCGUCUAUUUAUCUACGGAAAAUCUGGCUAAUUUAAGGAUCUGCUAAGUAACAGAUUCUGUUUAGUUAUUUAUCCACAUUCAUGAAUCCAACACGAUCGACAAACUUACGGCGCGGUGAGGAAUCAUCUACACGUAAUGAAAAUGAUCGAUUAAUUGUGAAGUUGAGAAAUGAAGACGAGAAACUAAGGCGUCGACGAGAAUGGAUGCGUCAACAAGAGCUGGAGAGACAACAUGAAAAAUUAAAACAACAAAUGAUUUUAAACUAUGAGAGAAAACGCGCAGAAACUAUGAAAUCCAAGCGAACAUCUUCACAUCACAGUCGAAGCAAGAGCAGCAGUAAAUCACCAUCGUACGAUCGACAUAGAGAAAGGUCCUCGUCGAGACUUUCAAAAUCUGAAACUCUGUUCAAAAAAUUAGAUGGGUCCACAAAUGGCGUAGUACCUUUGUUCAAAGGUCCUGAGGGCACACAAAUUAGUUCUACAGAAUUACGUCGAAUUAAAGUCGAUAUUCGCAGAAAUAUUCCUGCAAAAGGACCAAUUACUACCGAACUACAACGGGAUAUACUGAAUCCCGAGGAUGUGAUCCUUAAAAGAAGAGAGGAUAGCGUUAGAAACGCUUGGUAUGGAAGAAGGGAAACAGCGACCUUCAGUGGAUAGACAUUGUCCAGGUUGAGGGAAGCUUGUUCACUCACUAUAAGGAAGAAUAAAUCUCCGACGAAAUCGCCGAAAGGUCAUCUGACAAGUGGGGCAGUCUUUGAAGAAGCCUCUGCACUCAAAGGUGGACCAAAAGGAUGAAAUAGCGGAUAGGAGGCAGGAAAGAGAAGAGUAGUCCUAAAUCCUUAAAUCACAGCUUAAUAGGAUGGGAGACAUAGGGAAAUGCCGCUAAUUCAAAUGUGGUAAAUACCGGCAGGACUUUCUGAAAUAAUGCGAAAGCGGCUUCACGUGCCAUAAUGAACGAAAGUGAAUAUUAAAAAAGAAGUUAGAGACACAAUAUUGAAAAUACUACAUCAAUAUUGGAAGACACAUUGGAGGUACAAGAUUGGAAGAUUCAAUAUCAGAAAGUACAAUAUCGGCAGAUAUAAGUAAUAACAAUAAAUAAACAAUAAAUAAGAUACAACAAGUACAACACCGGAAGAUCCAUUAUAGAUACAAUAUCUGAAGAUAUAUAAUAGAUACAACGCUAGAAGAUCGAAGACACCGAAGAUGCAAUAUUAUAAAUGUAACAUUGAAGAUACAACAUCAUAAGUAAAACACUGAAGAUACAGCAUCGGAAAAUAAAAUAUCAGUAGAUAUAAUAUUGAAAGAAGUGUUGGCCAAGCCAGAAAUACAACAUCAGAGGAUACAAAAUCAUAGACACAAUAUAUUGAAGAUAUUGUUAAUAUCGUUAGGUACAAUAUCGGAAGUUACAAUAUCAAGAAGAAGUUAGAAGUUAUAACAUAGACGAUAUAAAAUCUGAAGAUACAUUAGAGAUACAACACUGGGAUAUACAACAGAAACAUAACAGGUUGAAGAUACAACAUCAUAAAUACAACAUGGAAGAUAUAACAUUGUAAACAUAGUAUUGAAGAUAAAAUUAUAGUCGUAAAUACGACAUUGAAGAUAUAAAAUCGUAAAUACAAUAUCGGAAAAUACAACAUUUGUAGCCCAGAUACAGUAGAACUUCGUUAUAACUCCUCUUACUAUAAGUCACCUUUUCCUCUCACCUCUUACCUUUUCCUUUCAUAUAUAUUUUCAUUAAUACUAAUUAGAGUUCCCUUUAUAUUGCUGUUCACUAGCUGCUUUUUAAUACAACUUUGUGUCUUACAUAACUUGCACCUAUGCAUACGCAAAGAUUAGACAACUUUAGAGCUAUUGGAGGUGGAAUAUAAAUCUCGUUAUAAAUUCACCUCAUAACUCUGCAGUCUUGAAACUGAACUUGUAACGGGGCUCCAACUGUAGCAUAAAACAUAAGAUCAUUUUGGAUUUGCUCAAGACGUUUUAGAAUACUUCUCAGGACAUCCUAGAUACAUUUUGGGUCAUUUUAUAUCCUUUUGCAGAUAUUAUAUCGAAAGAUACAAUAUCAGAAAACAACAUAGGAAGUUAUAAUAUUAGAAUAUAUAUCUAUCAGGGUUAGGAAACUAUAGAGAGGAUGUGCUGUAAUUUUGGAUAAUCCUGACUGAUCUGAAUAUUGCCAAUUUCAACGUCGAUUAAAUCUUUAAACUUGAGUUUCUAUAGACAAAGACUUCAACUUAAAGUUUAAUUGACGUUUAGUAGAAAUGGAUAUAUGUCAUAUAUUGAUUGAAAAAAUCAGGAGAUGAGAAAGAGAAUUAUAUUUCUAAAUGUAUGGGACAUGACUAGAUGAAAUAUAGAUAAUAACUAGGUAUAUUCAAUAAGAGAGGUAAUAGAUAGACACAAUCUGUAUAUUCUGAGAUGUAACAGGUAGAAUUUUAUUUUGUAAUUAUUUAAUAAUAUUUAAUAUUAUUUUUUGCUUUAUUGUAGCAUAUUUAUGAUUUUCCUAAAUAUUCAGCCUCUUACAUAAUGUUUGUUAACUUAAAUUGUGAAAUUGUGUCUACACAGGAUUUACUUAAUUGAAGAAAAAAUAUAAAAUUAGUUAUGAUUCCAUUGAUAAUUUGGUGAAUUUAUUAAGGAAAUUAUGUCUUAAAUUUUUAGCUUGAAAUGUAAGUAAGAAAAUAGAAGAAAGAUGCAUGCCCAAAUAGUGUAAAGUAACAUGACAUGUAAAUAAGAUAAGGCAUUUAGGUGUAAUAAUAACAAUGAGCCACUAUCAAAGUUUUCACAAGAAGUUUAGAAUAAAUAAUCGAAAAAUACAACAAUAAAUGGAAAAUACGACAACGGAAGAUGCAAUAAUAGAAUAUACAAUAAUGAAAGUUACAACAACGGAAGAUACAUAAUACAAGAUGCAGUAAUGAAAGAUUUAACCAUGCAUGUGCAUAACAAUACUGGAAGAUAUAAAUAUUUUAGUGGCAUAAUCGGCUAGAAGACUUGUCCGCAUUUAAUAUAAUCCCGGCGAAGACAAAUCUCUUUAUUUAAUAGCAGAUUAUUUUCUUCAAUCUGUGCAACUAAAAAGAAGUAAGACAUUACAUACUGAUCUAAUGCUUUAUGGAAUAAUAAUACAUAUUAAAUAAGUA